rnacentral:rRNA from 1 species
GUUUUCGGAUCGUAAACUCUGUUGUUAGGGAAGAAUAAGUACCGGAGUAACUGCCGGUACCUUGACGGUACCUAACCAGAAAGCCACGGCUAACUACGUGCCAGCAGCCGCGGUAAUACGUAGGUGGCAAGCGUUGUCCGGAAUUAUUGGGCGUAAAGCGCGCGCAGGCGGUCCUUUAAGUCUGAUGUGAAAGCCCACGGCUCAACCGUGGAGGGUCAUUGGAAACUGGGGGACUUGAGUGCAGAAGAGGAGAGUGGAAUUCCACGUGUAGCGGUGAAAUGCGUAGAGAUGUGGAGGAACACCAGUGGCGAAGGCGACUCUCUGGUCUGUAACUGACGCUGAGGCGCGAAAGCGUGGGGAGCGAACAGGAUUAGAUACCCUGGUAGUCCACGCCGUAAACGAUGAGUGCUAAGUGUUAGAGGGUUUCCGCCCUUUAGUGCUGCAGCUAACGCAUUAAGCACUCCGCCUGGGGAGUACGGCCGCAAGGCUGAAACUCAAAGGAAUUGACGGGGGCCCGCACAAGCGGUGGAGCAUGUGGUUUAAUUCGAAGCAACGCGAAGAACCUUACCAGGUCUUGACAUCUCCUGACAAUCCUAGAGAUAGGACGUUCCCCUUCGGGGGACAGGAUGACAGGUGGUGCAUGGUUGUCGUCAGCUCGUGUCGUGAGAUGUUGGGUUAAGUCCCGCAACGAGCGCAACCCUUGA